GACGAACCGUGCGAACGUUGUUCGGAAUCACUGGGCAUAAAGGGCGCGUAGGCGGCUUUUCAAGUCAGGGGUGAAAUCCGGCAGCUCAACUGUCGAAGUGCCCUUGAUACUGAUGAGCUCGAGGGAGGUAGGGGUCUGUGGAACUUCCGGUGGAGCGGUGAAAUGCAUUGAGAUCGGAAAGAACACCAACGGCGAAAGCACUCUGCUGGGCCGACACUGACACUGAGAGACGAAAGGCUAGGGGAGCAAAUGGG
rnacentral:rRNA from 1 species